UGUCGUUGCCGCCGUUUUUGGUCAACUCCUAAUUGGAAGUUCUAAAUUUCAUUGUUUGGCUUUUAAGCUUCAAUUGUUUGCGGUUCGAAUGGUCAUAAAUAUUAAGUGUUGUCGGCUACCGGACUUCUCUUCUACUCAUUGCGAACUGGCGUGACCUUUGUGACGUGGUCAAUCAAGCGAACUAAGCGGUGGAUCAAUAAAGGGUUCCCAAAGUAGGGGUACCUUGUUUGACUUUAAACCAAAUAGAUGGAAAGUUGGCCUACGUUUACUUGACCGUGAUAUACCCAUCCUCGACAAAGGAAUCUGGGAUUCAAGAAGGCAAAUCCUGGCGAGUAAUGCCAAGAAAACUUUUCAAUUUGUAGGCAGCUGCUUCGGCAAGGGAAAGAGGGAAAUAAGAAGUGGGGAAAAGCGUCGCUGGCGUUUGAUCUGUGGGCGGUAAAAAAAUACGCAGCCACUUGUAGUCGGACUUCCGAGUCAGGAUUUGUGGGCACGCAAAUUCUGUUUGCCCGAGUGUAAUUUCUUAAGUAAAAGGAAGCAUGAUGUUGGAUAUUUGUGGUUGUCCUGGCAGACCGAUGAAGAUAUGUAUAUGUGGGAAGCAGGCAAGCUGCAAAGGAGCAGGACCAAGCCAAGGCGAUGCGAUGGGCUAGACGAUGUUGCAGUCGAGAUGAGGCGAGGGAAUUAAACUGUGUGCUUGUCCAAAUGAUGGACUGACUGACUGACUACACUUGGGCAUUUAUGCAAAAAUCCUGCACGAAAACUGUCAAAUAUGAAGGCAAAGACACCGAAAGAAAAUGCGAGAAAACAAUAUAAUCCUUGCACUGUCAAUAUUAAUUUAUAUAUUAUAAAAUAAUACGUGCAUUUAAUA